GACGAACGCUGGCGGCGUGCUUAACACAUGCAAGUCGAGCGGUAAGGCCCUUUCGGGGGUACACGAGCGGCGAACGGGUGAGUAACACGUGGGUGACCUGCCCUCAGCUCUGGGAUAAGCCUGGGAAACCGGGUCUAAUACUGGAUAUGGCUCCAUGACGCAUGUUGUGGGGUGGAAAGCCUUGUGCGGCUGAGGAUGGGCCCGCGGCCUAUCAGCUUGUUGGUGGGGUGAUGGCCCACCAAGGCGACGACGGGUAGCCGGCCUGAGAGGGCGACCGGCCACACUGGGACUGAGACACGGCCCAGACUCCUACGGGAGGCAGCAGUGGGGAAUCUUGCGCAAUGGGCGAAAGCCUGACGCAGCGACGCCGCGUGAGGGAUGACGGCCU
rnacentral:rRNA from 1 species